AUGAUGGGUGGUACUGAGGACUCAGCUGGGGUCUCCCUCUUGCUCCAGCUGCAAAUGCAGUACUUCAAGGCAGAGGCAUGAUCAUAUUUGGGUGUUGGUCAAAGUAUCCCUGCAGGAAGUAGAGUUAUGAGGGUUGGACUGAGGGUGUGAGACAAUUGAGUAGGGAGACACCAGAUGAAGGCGUACAGUGUGAGCACCUCUGUUGUAGACGGGUGAGGAGAAGGAGGCGGCUGCCGCAGUUCUGUGUAGACUGU
rnacentral:lncRNA from 1 species